UUUUGCAGCUCCCCCUUUCAAACCCCCAAGACGAGUACAGAAAGUGGAGAGGGUGCGAGGAUCAACCACCGCAUGUUCAGAAAGAUCAUGCAUCAACUCGAGGGCAUUGUGGACGAUAUGAAAGUUGUUAAGAAAGACAUAAAUCAAAUCAAGGGAAU